UUCUUAUCCAGAGAGGUGGAGGGACUGGCCCUGCGAAACCUCAGCAACCCCUGAUGAUUUCAGGAAGGUGCUAAUUCCAACAGAGUUGACAUACUCUGGGAGAUAAGAG
rnacentral:ncRNA from 2 species